rnacentral:rRNA from 1 species
UUCGGAGCUAACGCGUUAAGUAGACCGCCUGGGGAGUACGGUCGCAAGAUUAAAACUCAAAUGAAUUGACGGGGGCCCGCACAAGCGGUGGAGCAUGUGGUUUAAUUCGAUGCAACGCGAAGAACCUUACCUACUCUUGACAUCCAGAGAACUUUCCAGAGAUGGAUUGGUGCCUUCGGGAACUCUGAGACAGGUGCUGCAUGGCUGUCGUCAGCUCGUGUCGUGAGAUGUUGGGU